rnacentral:rRNA from 1 species
UACGUAGGAGGCGAGCGUUGUCCGGAAUUACUGGGUGUAAAGCGCGUGUAGGCGGCCUGCCAAGUCUGCUGUGAAAGCGCCUGGCUUAACCGGGCGAGGUCGGUGGAAACUGGCGGGCUGGAGGCCGGUAGAGGGGGGUGGAAUUCCCGGUGUAGUGGUGAAAUGCGUAGAGAUCGGGAGGAACACCAGUGGCGAAGGCGGCCCCCCUGGGCCGGGCCUGACGCUGAGACGCGAAAGCGCGGGGAGCGAACGGG